AUGGUUUAUUUAGCGCGCGCUGAAUUUCCCUUUCUGGAGUCGCUGUGUCGCUGUGUAGGUUAUGCGAUUUUAUAUAAAAUGAUCGACUGUACUACUAUUAAGCAAACACAUAAAACGGUCCACGCGAUUUAUAUAUCAGGUAUUUUAGCGAAACAUCUUCGUCUGCAACUUGCUCUACAUCGCCAUCUACUGCAGUGGAGUUGCAGUUCGCUCUAUGUGAAAGAACAAGAUAACACAGGGAAUUUCGAAUGCAGAGGGGAAGAAACAGUCAGCCAGCCAGAAAGACAUCAGACUGAAUUGGAUGGAAAAUCAGUGACAAUAAAAUGCAAAUACAGCAGUGCUUCAACAGCUCCAGAUCUCUUCUGGUACAUCCAGAGAGCAAAUGACAUUCCUAAAUACAUCCUGAGAAGGGACAAGUUUGGAACUGGAGAAACUGGCACUGAGUUUCAGGAGAGAUUUCACUCUGAAGUGUCAUCAGAUUCAGUUCCACUGACAAUCAAGAAUCUGCGUGUGUCUGACUCUGCUGUGUACUACUGUGCUCUGAGGCCCACAGUGUGAAUGACAUGGCUGAGAGAGGAGGGAC